rnacentral:lncRNA from 1 species
UUCAAUUUAAUUUGUCCAAAUUUUCAAUUUUUUAAUGGCAUUAUAAUUGUUGUUGAACAUAAAUAGACACAUGAAAUCCAACUUUAACCGAAAUUUUUUUUGUUACUUUGGUUUCGAAUUUUUUAGCAAUUCCGAAAUUUUUAUUUAAAAUCUUUCAUUACUGUUUUUUAACAGACUCAAAGUUUGUACUAGUAUAAAAUUUAAUAAGAAUAUAUAAAGGAAAAUUUUAGAGGAAAUUAAAUAUUUUAGUAUGAAAUUUAAGAUCGUAGCAGGAAAGAGGAGACAAUUUCGAGAGAAACUUAUCGUAGGAUCACGUUAAAUAAACUUUUUUAAAGCUUUAACAAAUAUUUAUAUAUUGUUUUAUAAUUAUAAUAGAUAACUUAGUAUGUUCGUAUGCGGUAAUAUGGAGUAACAAUUUGUAACUGGAUUAAUUUUCAUUUUGAGCAUUAUUUUUAUUUCUCGUAAAUUGAUUCACAGAAUUAACCAACAAUCCAAAAUAUAAAAGUGAUGAACAAGGAAAUAUAUUUUCAAUAGACGAUAGUUUGUAGAUUGGAAUUGAAAGAAUGGACCAGAGAGCAGAGAAGAAAAAGAUUGAAAAUAAUAAUAAAAAGCGAAGUGCAUCAAGAUAUAAUAGGGUUUUGUUUUGGAAUAUUGAGGAGUUUAUCCCGUUUAUGGAGUAAUUUUCUCAACAAAGUACUAAAAUUAAAAAUUCUGUGUAUGGUGGGUAUUAUUAAAUAUUUGUUGGCGUAAAAUGUAAUAUGAUUUGCUUAAAGCAAUGGAUUGCAUGCAUGAAUUGUGUUACCAGCUAUUUAACGUGUGUUUUGCUGAUUGGUAGCUCCGGCAUUGCGUAUAACGCCAUUGUUGAUUAAUUUGAAAAACGAAACAAUGAAAAGCGAGAGCUACUCAACUCAAUUUGCAAUCGGAUCAAAUUAAACAAAACAAGUGAAAGUAAGUAAAUGGGGCUUCUGCCAGUGGAGUGGAAGUUUACUUAUAAGGAGAAAGGUUAACUUGUUGGAGAAGUAUAAGAAUAUAUUGUUGAUAAAGAUACUUUUAUUAAUUUUUAUGAAUAGACCCAAUGAUAAAGCCAACUCUUUGUACAGGAACAGAUACCUUUGAAUGCCGAUUCGACCACUUAAUAAAUGAUAAUUGUUAGCUAGCUAAUGGUUCACGAUUGAGUCUUCGUCAAUGCCUUUCUAUUCCGUCGUAAUUCUACACAACUUUGGGAAAAGAAAAGCUAAAAAGAAAGCACGAUAGCCAAAACACAUUACUCAACUGUGCAUUUGGUAUUUAUUUGGUAUUUGUUUAUCUAAUAAAUUGUUAGGAAAGCCUCGAUUACUUAAUGCACUUGUAAUUAUUAAAAAAUUAUUAAUUAAGGGAAUAUUAAUUAAUCAAAUUAAUUUUAGCAUGUUGGCCCCAAGUAUUAAUUUAUUGAGAUUAUUGUAUGAGUAUAUUAGGCAGUUAAUAUUGAGUUCUAAGUAAAAUUUUAUCAAGUUAAAGUCAUAUUAAAAUCGAGUGAAUUUUUUCGUCUAAUGGCUUGGGAUAAACAGGUUAAAACUUAAAUAGUCUCUUAUCAACGAUAGAUUUUGAUUUUGUUCUUUUGCCCUUCAUCAAGUCCGUUGUUUGGGAUACUUCUGGGGAACGCGGUAAAUAGUAUUGAUGUGAUCGAUUUUAAAGUUCGAGUUUUAAUUGGUUCACACGAUGUGUCAACAUUAUUGUACCACUUCUUCCUUCUUCCCGAAGAAGGAAUUAACUUUGCAUAAUUGGAAGAGACGGAGAAAAAGUAGCUAGUGUUUUUAAUUGGUUCACAUGAUGUGUCAACAUUAUUGUAUCACUUCUUCUUUCUUUCCGAAGAAGGAAUUAACUUUGCAAAAUUGAAAGAGAGAGAGAAAACGUAGCUAGUGGUUUUAAUUACUUUGAGAAGAGUGAAAGACUUUGCAUUAUCAUACGACAACCCUAAAAAUAAGAAUCCAAUCCGUUUAUACUUGAGUAAAAUCUGUAUAGAUUAGUCCUAUAACUUUAACUUAUAUAAGUUAUUUAUUUA